rnacentral:rRNA from 1 species
UGGCGGACGGGUGAGUAACACGUGGGUAACCUGCCCUUUAGCGGGGGAUAACACUUGGAAACAGGUGCUAAUACCGCAUAAUCUUUUUUCUCGCAUGAGUAAAAAGUGAAAGACGCUUUUGCGUCACUAAAGGAUGGACCCGCGCUGCAUUAGCUAGUUGGUGAGGUAACGGCUCACCAAGGCCACGAUGCAUAGCCGACCUGAGAGGGUGAUCGGCCACACUGGGACUGAGACACGGCCCAGACUCCUACGGGAGGCAGCAGUAGGGAGUCUUCGGCAAUGGACGAAAGUCUGACCGAGCAACGCCGCGUGAGUGAAGAAGGUUUUCGGAUCGUAAAACUCUGUUGUUAGAGAAGAAUAAGGAUGAGAGUAGAAAGUUCAUCCCUUGACGGUAUCUAACCAGAAAGCCACGGCUAACUACGUGCCAGCAGCCGCGGUAAUACGUAGGUGGCAAGCGUUGUCCGGAUUUAUUGGGCGUA